rnacentral:rRNA from 1 species
AGAGUUUGAUCCUGGCUCAGGAUGAACGCUAGCUACAGGCUUAACACAUGCAAGUCGAGGGGCAGCAUGGUCUUAGCUUGCUAAGGCCGAUGGCGACCGGCGCACGGGUGAGUAACACGUAUCCAACCUGCCGUCUACUCUUGGACAGCCUUCUGAAAGGAAGAUUAAUACAAGAUGGCAUCAUGAGUCCGCAUGUUCACAUGAUUAAAGGUAUUCCGGUAGACGAUGGGGAUGCGUUCCAUUAGAUAGUAGGCGGGGUAACGGCCCACCUAGUCUUCGAUGGAUAGGGGUUCUGAGAGGAAGGUCCCCCACAUUGGAACUGAGACACGGUCCAAACUCCUACGGGAGGCAGCAGUGAGGAAUAUUGGUCAAUGGACGAGAGUCUGAACCAGCCAAGUAGCGUGAAGGAUGACUGCCCUAUGGGUUGUAAACUUCUUUUAUAAAGGAAUAAAGUCGGGUAUGGAUACCCGUUUGCAUGUACUUUAUGAAUAAGGAUCGGCUAACUCCGUGCCAGCAGCCGCGGUAAUACGGAGGAUCCGAGCGUUAUCCGGAUUUAUUGGGUUUAAAGGGAGCGUAGGUGGAUUGUUAAGUCAGUUGUGAAAGUUUGCGGCUCAACCGUAAAAUUGCAGUUGAAACUGGCAGUCUUGAGUACAGUAGAGGUGGGCGGAAUUCGUGGUGUAGCGGUGAAAUGCUUAGAUAUCACGAAGAACUCCGAUUGCGAAGGCAGCCUGCUAAGCUGCAACUGACAUUGAGGCUCGAAAGUGUGGGUAUCAAACAGGAUUAGAUACCCUGGUAGUCCACACAGUAAACGAUGAAUACUCGCUGUUUGCGAUAUACAGUAAGCGGCCAAGCGAAAGCGUUAAGUAUUCCACCUGGGGAGUACGCCGGCAACGGUGAAACUCAAAGGAAUUGACGGGGGCCCGCACAAGCGGAGGAACAUGUGGUUUAAUUCGAUGAUACGCGAGGAACCUUACCCGGGCUUAAAUUGCAGAUGAAUUACGGUGAAAGCCGUAAGCCGCAAGGCAUCUGUGAAGGUGCUGCAUGGUUGUCGUCAGCUCGUGCCGUGAGGUGUCGGCUUAAGUGCCAUAACGAGCGCAACCCUUGUUGUCAGUUACUAACAGGUUCCGCUGAGGACUCUGACAAGACUGCCAUCGUAAGAUGUGAGGAAGGUGGGGAUGACGUCAAAUCAGCACGGCCCUUACGUCCGGGGCUACACACGUGUUACAAUGGGGGGUACAGAGGGCCGCUACCACGCGAGUGGAUGCCAAUCCCCAAAACCUCUCUCAGUUCGGACUGGAGUCUGCAACCCGACUCCACGAAGCUGGAUUCGCUAGUAAUCGCGCAUCAGCCACGGCGCGGUGAAUACGUUCCCGGGCCUUGUACACACCGCCCGUCAAGCCAUGGGAGCCGGGGGUACCUGAAGUGCGUAACCGCGAGGAGCGCCCUAGGGUAAAACUGGUGACUGGGGCUAAGUCGUAACAAGGUAGCCGUACCGGAAGGUGCGGCUG